GUCUGAUACCGUAGUCAUGGUAGAAAUUUAAUAUAUAAAUAACAAUAAAUGUUUGAGCCACAGACUGUUCACCGAUACGUCACAUGGAUGGAUCAUGUGGAGGUGGAAUUGAAAAUAUCGUGCAUAGACAACUUACAUCGUUAAGCAUUCAGUCACGUUAUUUACGUUACCGCAAUGUAAUUUACGUUACUUAUAUAUAUAUAGGACGAUAACAACCUAAAACUACUUUCACUUGUCAAAGUUUGAUUCACAUUUGAUAUUUCGGCAAUGCCAGACAACCAAACACAAAAGUUUCGCGAAACUUUCCAAAUUUCCAAAUAUGGCGGUAACGUAAAUUAUAGUAACGUAAAUUAGUUCUGGUAAUGAAUAAUGAUGAAAACAGUAUG